rnacentral:lncRNA from 1 species
GUGUUGCUUAUAUUUGUUUAUCUGGAUCUCCCCUCCUGAUCUAUUCUUACCUCCUCUUCUGUAAGAAAGGGAGAUUGCAAAAUAAGUGGUUCCCAAAAAUAGGUAGGAUGACAUACUUUAAAGCAACAAGCAAAAACUAGCUUAUGUUCUGUGUGUACACCAAAAAGGAAGGCUACAUGACGAGAUUAACAGAAAUAUUUUUCAAUUAUUAGAAAAUAGAUGUUUUUAUUGCUGUUGCUCUUUUGUUUAAGUUUUAACACGGAGUCUCUCUAUGUAGUCAUGGCUGUCCUGGAACUUAAUAUGUAGAGCAUGGUGGCCUCAAAUUCACAAAGAUCCAGGCUUCUCUGCAUCUGAGUGAUAGAAUUAAACUGUUUUUUUUUUUUUGAACAGAUCUACUUUUUACAUUUUCUACAACUUUCUUUGAGAGUCAUGUACUUGAUUUCACAGUGGGAGCAUCAGCAAUUUUUAAAUGGGUAGACUAUAAAAGGAGGAAAUGGAAGUAACAAGGAAGAUAUAUAAAAAGAAAGUUCUAGAAAACUGACCAACUACAACAUGUGUGCUGGAUAAAUAUCACAUUAGGUUAGUAAGCCUGUUUUUAUUCCUUCAUAAUAAAAUUCAUCUACACGAUUCCCAUUCAUUGCCAAUCUCAGUUAAUUGCAGCAUUGUGUGUAGUUGCUCCUGAGCAGGGUCAGGACAGAUAACUAGGUAUUUUACAGUCUUUAGAAAGUUACUUGCAUUCCUCUUGGACCAUCAAUAUCAGAUGCAAUGUGGAUGAGUGAGGAGACAUGGCAAGUUAUAUCAUGAUUCUAAAGUCAGUGAAGCGAAAAACUGAGGCAAUUAAGAAGAUAACUCACACAUGGUUUCAUGUCCCUGAAUACUCAAGAGCAAUAAUUUUUGUCAGAAGUACUUACC